UGAUUCACGAUCUGCGUUUUAGGAAGACACAUGAACUUAUUAGAUCCAGGCUUUAACUUCAGUUUCCUGUGUGACCUUUGAGAAGCCAUCUCUCCAAGUGCUUCCUUUGAAAGGGCCGGGGGUUGAUACGAGUGCUUUCUUGAUGAACUGCGCCCUCAGAGCUAUUUACUUUAGUGGAAGGUUUCUUUUGAGGAGGAGAUUGGGAAAAGUCAUCAAAUUCUGUGGUUGCUGCUUCCUCUAA
rnacentral:lncRNA from 1 species